rnacentral:rRNA from 1 species
AGCGAACGCUGGCGGCAGGCCUAACACAUGCAAGUCGAACGAACCCUUCGGGGUUAGUGGCGGACGGGUGAGUAACACGUGGGAACGUGCCUUUAGGUUCGGAAUAACUCAGGGAAACUUGUGCUAAUACCGAAUGUGCCAUUCGGGGGAAAGAUUUAUCGCCUUUAGAGCGGCCCGCGUCGGAUUAGCUAGUUGGGGAGGUAAUGGCUCACCAAGGCAACGAUCAGUAGCCGGUCUGAGAGGAUGACCAGCCACAUUGGGACUGAGACACGGCCCAAACUCCUACGGGAGGCAGCAGUGGGGAAUCUUGCGCAAUGGGCGAAAGCCUGACGCAGCCAUGCCGCGUGGAUGAUGAAGGUCUUAGGAUUGUAAAAUCCUUUCACCGGUGAAGAUAAUGACUGUAGCCGGAGAAGAAGCCCCGGCUAACUUCGUGCCAGCCGCCGCCGUAAAAC